UGAUUUUUGGGCUAACUAAAUUCGGGCAUUGAGGUUACUCAACCCGUAUCAUUGUGGGGAAACCUGGUAUGGCCUGUAAUUGAGACGCAUAAAUCACACAUGCAAUCGUGCAUUGCUGCCAUGUCGUGGUAUGCUUCUCUUUGGCCUUGCCAUAACACAAAUCUGAGCCUCAAUUUGCUAAACAGAAGGGAAAAGGGUCAAAAUUACCUCUUUAUAUGCACAAGGGGAAAUAUUAUUUCCAUGAUUAAUGUGGGAGAUAUUGAAAUCACGCACGUCCUUCUGAUUAGCAAUUUUGAUGCUUUUCAUUCGUAAUGUGUCUCCAUCUUUUGAUAAGUACCAGCUCAAGAACGAGGCAUUUAAAUGAAAUGUUGGAUUAUUGAGGGGUGUUUGCGGCCACCUCUUGUAAGCCCAGAUCCUAUUUUUGAUGUUUUGCAUUGUUAUGCAUCUUUUAUAGCUUCAACGUUUAUAUUCCUCCCACUGAUGGAUAUAUGUAUGUCUAAAUGCGAAAAAAACAUGACAAACACUUCUUCUCAGGCUGGUUAUUCCAUUUUGAGGUGUCAAUAACACUGUUUAUAUCAGUUCUGUGUUCCAUCUUGUUGAAACCAAGAAGGAUUUUUGAGGGUUUAACCCUUUGAAGUGUCAUUCUUGUGUAUUGUCUCUUAAGGUCCAUUUAUGUUUUAUUUGGGUUGAUUAUAGCCAGUGAAUUAUGAAUGGUAACUUAUAAGGGAAGAGCUUUUUUGUUCAAACAUUCUAAUGAGAUGCUCUGCUAUCUAUUUUUGACGUUUCUUUGUUUGAAAUUGUUACUAAUACUCAUUGGAGGCCAAACGGACAUGGUAAGAUUUUGAAGGUUAAAGUUCUUUGAGUUUUAAUUGGUAUUAUUCAUUAAGAUAGCUUUCAAACAACUAACCUAGUCUUUGUUCUUGCCAUUGUUUACAGGACGGCAAGUGUUUGUACCUUGGAAUUUGAUGAUUGUACACAAUAUGUUCUUGUUUUCUUUGGAGCUACCUCCUCCGGUGGGUCUAUGAGAUUUUGAUGUUAAAUUUUUAUUUCAUUGUGUUUCUUCUCCAUUUAACACGGCUAAUUGAUGCUUGUAGCCACGACAGAUUUCAAUGCUUCUGAGCUCAUCGUGAUUUGGCUUUGCACAACUCAAUUUUUUUCACUCACCAAACCACCCAUUUGGUGAAAUUACAUGACCUUCCAUUUUCCAUAUUUUUAGUACUCUUUCUGGUAUAACUCAAAAGGGCAAUAAACCUGUUCUCUAUUGAGCUGAAUAGCUGUUGCUUGGCAUGGCAUCUCAUGUGGGUAUGUGAUAUUUUUGAAGAAGUACCAUUUAUUAGUGUUUUUUCUACCUCUCGAAGCUAACUAAUGCUUGCAGCCAUGACAUGUUUCUAAGCUUUUGAGCUGAUUCGUGUUUUGAGUUGAGUUUCUUUCUCAUCUCUCACCAAACCACCCUUUUCGUGAUAUUACACAUGCACUUCCUCUUUUCUUGUUAUUUUACUCACUCCCGCUUUGUUUAAUACACAAUGAGGAUUUGGAGGUUUUCAUCUAUCUAUGUUCAAUCAAACAUGUUCUCUCUUGAGUUGAAAACUGUUGAACUACACAACCUUGUACUUUUCUUGUUCUUAUAUUACUCUCUUGUAUAACUUAAAAAAAAGCAAUUUAGCAUGUUCUCUCUUGAGUUGAAAACUGUUGAUUGGCAUGCCAUAUGAGACUUAGGAGAAAGUUUCAAUUCAUGGUGCAUCUUCUCCGUCUCUUAAGGCUUACUAAAGCUUACAGCCAUGACGGACCGUUGCUCGCAGCCAUUCUAGGUGUCAAAGCUUUUGGGCUAAUCAUGACGCUACCUCUUCUGUUUACAAAUUACGCUACUGGUACAGUAGAACUUCAUACGCUAUUUACCUUAACAUGGUCUAAGACUGUUUGACUUUGAUUGUUUCUUAAAAAUGGAAAAGUGUGCCACCUAAGAAAUAGUGAAUUAUUUGGUUCAUCUUUUUUGAUUUUGUAAAUGUUUUGAGGAUUAGUAGAGGUGGGUUGCUUGAGAACAUCGCACACUUUUAAUUGUUUAGACUAAUUGCACCUGUGAAUUUGUGUGUUGCUUGACCAAAAAGCAUUGACCAGUAAGGCUCUUCAACGAAUUCUUAUGUUCUUUUAUUUGCUGCUUCCUUACAGGGCUGUUCUUGUGUUUGUUGUUCGUAUAAGUAUCUGUUGCUUGAGACCUGCUAUUAUUUUGGAGUUCUUACAAGUAGUGUACUCCUAAUUUGUCCUUUAUGACAUUUUAAUUAUUUUGAAAUAGAGCUUUUUUUAGUUUCUUUUUAAAUCUAAAAUAUUUUAAAAUCGAGUUUUUUUAGUUACUUGCUGAAUCUAAAAUAUUUUUGAGUUUUUUUUAGUUACUUUUUAAAUCUAAA
rnacentral:lncRNA from 1 species